UACGUAGGUGGCUAGCGUUGUCCGGAUUUACUGGGCGUAAAGAGCGCGCAGGCGGUCGUUCAAGUCGAGUGUGAAAGCCCCCGGCUCAACUGGGGAGGGUCACUCGAUACUGAUCGACUUGAAGGCGGGAGAGGGAAGCGGAACUCCCGGUGUAGUGGUGGAAAUGCGUAGAUAUCGGGAGGAACACCUGUGGUGUAGACGGCUUUCUGGACCAUAGCUGACGCUGAGACACGAAAGCGUGGGUAGCAAACAGG
rnacentral:rRNA from 1 species